GAUGAACGCUGGCGGCGUGCCUAAUACAUGCAAGUCGAGCGAACAGACGAGGCGCUUGCUCCUCUGACGUUAGCGGCGGACGGGUGAGUAACACGUGGAUAACCUACCUAUAAGACUGGGAUAACUUCGGGAAACCGGAGCUAAUACCGGAUAAUAUAUUGAACCGCAUGGUUCAAUAGUGAAAUACGGUUUUGCUGUCACUUAUAGAUGGAUCCGCGCCGCAUUAGCUAGUUGGUAAGGUAACGGCUUACCAAGGCAACGAUGCGUAGCCGACCUGAGAGAGUGAUCGGCCACACUGGAACUGAGACACGGUCCAGACUCCUACGGGAGGCAGCAGUAGGGAAUCUUCCGCAAUGGGCGAAAGCCUGACGGAGCAACGCCGCGUGAGUGAUGAAGGUCUUCGGAUCGUAAAACUCUGUUAUUAGGGAAGAACAAAUGUGUAAGUAACUAUGCACGUCUUGACGGUACCUAAUCAGAAAGCCACGGCUAACUACGUG
rnacentral:rRNA from 1 species